rfam:Roseivivax lentus strain DSM 29430 genome assembly, contig: Ga0111641_104
CAUGCCCGGGAUCGACCUCCGUCAGCGCGUUGCGCCCACGGGGGCGUUACUG